rnacentral:rRNA from 1 species
UGAGGAAUAUUGGUCAAUGGGCGAGAGCCUGAACCAGCCAAGUCGCGUGAAGGAAGAAGGUUCUAUGGAUUGUAAACUUCUUUUGUAAGGGAAUAAAAAGAGUUACGUGUAACUUAUUGUAUGUACUUUACGAAUAAGGAUCGUCUAACUCCGUGCCAGCAGCCGCGGUAAUACGGAGGAUCCAAGCGUUAUUCGGAUUUAUUGGGUCUAGAGGGUGCGUAGGCGGGUUUUUAAGUCAGUGGUGAAAGUUUGCAGCUCAACUGUAAAAUUGCCAUUGAAACUGAAGACCUUGAGUGUAAAUGGGGUGGGCGAGAUGUGUUGUGUAGCGGUGGAAUGCUUAGAUAUAACACAGAACACCAAUUGCGGAGGCAGCUUACUGAGAUACAACUGACGCUGAGGCACGAAAGCGUGGGGAUCAAAC